CUCCCUCGCCUUCCCUUCUCACCCCAAAACCCCACGCCAUUACCACCACCACCACCUUCCUUCCGAGGCCCCCCUCUCCGCCUGCCUUUCACGAACGCGCACGGCCAUUUACAAGGAGCAAGCGAACGCUCUCCGUUCCCAGCUCUGCCCUGUUUCGUUCCAAGAAACAGGGGACAGGAGCCGGCGGCAAUGGGGGAGGAGAUGGACGCGGGAUGGCUGACGUGGCGCGCGGCGGCGGCGCUCGCCGUGGCGGCGUGGCUGGCGCUGCCCGUGGCGGCGCGCAUCGCGGACGCGCUGUGGUGGCGACCCCGGCGGCUGGAGGCGCACUUCGCGGCGCAGGGGGUGCGCGGCCCGCCGUACCGCUUCCUGCUGGGCUCCGUCAAGGAGAUGGUGGGGCUCAUGGCGGAGGCGUCGUCGAAGCCCAUGUCGCCGGCCACCUCCCACAACGCGCUCCCCCGCGUGCUCGCCUUCUACCACUACUGGCGGAAGAUCUACGGGCCGACGUUCCUGAUCUGGUUCGGGCCGACGCCGCGGCUGACGGUGGCGGAGCCCGAGCUGGUGCGGGAGAUCUUCCUCACGCGCGCCGACGCCUUCGACCGCUACGAGGCGCACCCCAUCGUGCGCCAGCUCGAGGGCGACGGCCUCGUCAGCCUCCACGGCGACAAGUGGGCGCUCCACCGCCGCGUCCUCACCGACGCCUUCUACCCGGAGAACCUCAACCGGCUGGUGCCACACGUCGGCAGGUCGGUGGCGGCGCUGGCGGAGGAGUGGCGCGCCAUGGCGGCCUCCGGCGGGAGCGGCGAGGUGGAGGUGGACGUCGCCGAGUGGUUCCAGGCGGUCACGGAGGAGGCCAUCACGCGCGCCACCUUCGGCCGCAGCUACCACGACGGCCGUGCCGUGUUCGCCAUGCAAGGCCGCCUCAUGGCCUUCGCCUCCGAGGCCUUCCGCAAGGUCCUCGUCCCCGGCUACCGGUUCUUGCCGACCAAGAAGAACUGGCAGUCGUGGAAGCUGGACAGGGAGAUACGGCGGAGCCUGACCCGGCUCAUCGCCCGGCGCAGCGACGAGGCCGAGGCGGAGAACGCCGACGACGCCGGAGCCUUCCGUGACCUCCUCGGCGCCAUGAUCAAUGCCGGCGAAAGGAGGAGGGCGCGGGCGCUGGCGCCGGCGGCGGCGAUCCCGGUGGAGGACAUGCUGGAGGAAUGCAAGACAUUCUUCUUCGCCGGGAAGCAGACCACGACGAACCUCCUGACCUGGGCCACCGUGCUCCUCGCCAUGCACCCGGAGUGGCAGGAGCGCGCCCGCCGCGAGGUCCUCGACGUCUGCGGCGCCGACGAGCUCCCCUCCAAGGAGCACCUCCCCAGGCUGAAGAUGCUCGGCAUGAUCAUCAACGAGACCCUUCGGCUUUACCCGCCGGCGGUGGCCACCAUCCGCCGUGCCAAGACCGACGUCCAGCUCUCUGAUGGGUGCAUGAUCCCUCGUGACAUGGAGCUUCUCAUCCCGAUCAUGGCCAUCCACCACGACACGAGGUUCUGGGGUCAAGACGCGGCGCAAUUCAACCCCAUGCGGUUCGCCGAGGGCACGGCCAGGGCAGGGAAGCACCCCCUGGCGUUUAUACCGUUUGGCCUCGGCUCCCGGAUGUGCAUAGGCCAGAACCUAGCUCGACUGGAAGCCAAGCUCACCAUGGCCAUCCUACUCCAGCGCUUCGAGAUGCGGACUUCUCCGAACUACAUACACGCACCGACGGUCCUGAUGCUCCUCUACCCGCAAUACGGAGCGCCGGUGAUCUUCCGGCCUCGGUCAGCUCAUCCGUCAGAUCCGGCAGCCCAAACAGCUUCCCCUGCCCCAAGCCUCACAUUCAAAAGGUUUCCAUGAGGCAGGCCGAGGAGCUCCCCCAGAAAACCAUAGGACAUAUCCAGAAUGACCCAAAUACCCCUCCCCAACCUCCCCUGUGUAUAUGCCAAGCGAUACUAAAAGCCAAGAAGCACUAACUUUUUGUCCUAGCCUGCGCCUCGGGGCCUACCCAGGUUGCCCGGAAAUGCCCUCCUUAACAGACCGGAUCAGGCCCAGCCUUUUUUAAGAUUUGAUGACACACAACGGGGUGGGACCCCCUGUUUUUGUUCCUUGCCCAUGGCAGCUGGUGUAUGUAUCUGUAUAGAAGGUUUUAUUCCGUCUCCUA